rnacentral:rRNA from 1 species
CGUAAAGAACCUAUCCUGUAGCGGGGGAUAGCCCUGGGAAACUGGGGGUAAUACCGCAUAAGCCAUAUCUAUCGCAUGAGAGAUAUGGGAAAGGGAUGUGAAAGCAUCUCACUAGAGGAGGGCUUUGCGGCCUAUCAGGUAGUUGGUGGGGUAACGGCCUACCAAGCCAAAGACGGGUAGCUGGUCUGAGAGGACGGUCAGCCACACUGGGACUGAGAUACGGCCCAG